AUGACUUAUGAGGCUACCAGAGGCUACUACACCUCCAGAUUAAUGACAGCCUGCAACUUACUUGCUUCCAACACACUAGUAACACAUUCUAAGGUUCGUAAUCGGCUACUUCAAAGCGCUAUUGCUAUUCUGUGGGUAAAGGUCCUCAUUUUGUUGAUGGUGGCAUCUUACAAAGAAAAGGAAGUUCGAGAUGGGAGCACUUGUUUCAAAUGCUCUCCUCCCAUUCGCGAUGCUGCCAACAAGGAAAACCUCUGGGAAGCUCUGCUGUACAAACACAUCAGCACAGUGAGUAAGGAUGUGGCACCUUGGGGAAUAAUGCCUACAAAGCAAGCCCAGGAUGACGACGCUGAUCACUAG
rnacentral:rRNA from 1 species